rnacentral:rRNA from 1 species
AUGGAGAUGGGGUCGCUGGCGCCGGGUGACAGGCCGCACGCCGUGAUGAUCCCCUAUCCGGCGCAGGGCCACGUCACGCCCAUGCUGAAGCUGGCCAAGCUGCUCCACGCCAAGGGCUUCCACGUCACCUUCGUCAACAACGAGUUCAACCACCGCCGCCUGCUGCGCUCCCAGUCGGCGGACACGCUACGUGGCCUGCCCGGGUUCCGGUUCGCCGCCAUCGCCGACGGCCUUCCGCCGUCCGACCGUGAGGCGACGCAGGACAUCCCCGCGCUGUGCUACUCCACCAUGACCACCUGCCUCCCCAGGUUCAAGGAGCUCAUCGUCAAGCUCAACGAGGAGGCCGAGGCCUCCGGCGGCGCGCUCCCGCCUGUGACCUGCGUGGUGGCCGAUAGCGUCAUGAGUUUUGGCCUUCGAGCCGCGCGGGAGCUCGGCCUCCGCUGCGCCACGCUCUGGACCGCCAGCGCCUGUGGUUACAUGGGUUACUGCCACUACAAGGAUCUACUCGACCGUGGGCUCUUCCCACUCAAAGAAGAGGCGCAGUUGAGCAAUGGAUACUUGGACACGACCAUCGACUGGAUACCGGCGAUGCCCAAGGACAUCCGGCUACGUGACCUCCCGACCUUCUUGCGUGCCACGGACCCCGAUGACAUCAUGUUCAACUUCUUCGUCCACGAGACGGCCGCCAUGUCACAGGCCUCGGCGGUGGUCAUUAACACAUGGGACGAGCUCGACUCACCCCUGCUCGACGCCAUGUCCAAACUCCUGCCGCCUAUCUACACAGUGGGGCCGCUCCAUCUCACGGUCCGCAACAACAUACCGGAGGAGAGCCCCCUCGCCGGCAUCGGGUCCAACCUGUGGAAGGAGCAGGACGCGCCCCUUCGGUGGCUCGACGGUCGGCCGCCGCGCUCCGUGGUCUACGUCAAUUUCGGGAGCAUCACGGUGAUGUCCAAGGAGCAUUUGUUGGAGUUCGCAUGGGGGCUGGCCAACACAGGCUACGCCUUCCUGUGGAACGUGCGGCCUGACCUCGUCAAGGGUGACGACGAGACCGCGCUUCCGCCGGAGUUCGCUAUGGCGAUAGAGGGGCGGAGCAUGCUCUCGACGUGGUGCCCACAGGAGAAGGUGCUAGAGCACGAGGCCGUAGGGGUGUUUCUCACGCACUCCGGUUGGAACUCGUCGCUCGAGGGCAUCUGCGGCGCUGUUCCGAUGGUGUGUUGGCCCUUCUUCGCAGAGCAACAGACUAACUGCCGCUACAAGUGUACGGAGUGGGGCAUCGGGAUGGAGAUUGGGGAUGACGUGAGAAGGACCGAGGUGGAAGCCAUGAUACGGGAGGUCAUGGAGGGGGAGAAGGGGCGGGAGAUGCGACGGCGCGGGAUUGAGCUCCAGAAGAGUGCAGUGGCCUCCGCACGGCCUAGCGGAAGGUCCAUGCGGAAUGUCGAUAGGCUCAUCCACGAGGUGCUGCUGGCUUGA